rnacentral:rRNA from 1 species
AUUGAACGCUGGCGGCAGGCUUAACACAUGCAAGUCGAGCGGGGUGAUGGUGCUUGCACUAUCACUUAGCGGCGGACGGGUGAGUAAUGCUUAGGAAUCUGCCUAUUAGUGGGGGACAACAUCUCGAAAGGGGUGCUACUACCGCAUACGUCCUACGGGAGAAAGCAGGGGAUCACUUGUGACCUUGCGCUAAUAGAUGAGCCUAAGGCGGAUUAGCUAGUUGGUGGGGUAAAGGCCUACCAAGGCGACGAUCUGUAGCGGGUCUGAGAGGAUGCUCCGCCACACUGGGACGGAGACACGGCCCAGACUCCUACGGGAGGCAGCAGUGGGGAAUAUUGGACAAUGGGGGGAACCCUGAUCCAGCCAUGCCGCGUGUGUGAAGAAGGCCUUAUGGUUGUAAAGCACUUUAAGCGAGGAGGAGGCUCUUUUGGUUAAUACCCAAGAUGAGUGGACGUUACUCGCAGAAUAAGCACCGGCUAACUCUGUGCCAGCAGCCGCCGUAA